GACUCUUCGCGAAGAACAGUUGCGAUUCGACGCUCUUUCCUGCAGGAAUUUGUGUUUCCGGGCGUCGCUAUUUUACGAACAUAAUCGCGUAAGGUUUUUGCACCUGAAGUUGUUGGAAGUUGCGUCAGUUUUGCGUGAAUAAACUUGUUUGCAUUUUGUCACCAUCAAGAGCCAACUUGUUCCGACAGCCAAUCGAAGCCUCAGUACCUCAUCUGCCUGCCUUCAGAUCAGCUCCUCUACACUCAAAGUUUAUGUCAGUAGAGGAUGAAGGAAUUAUAAGAGUAAGUACUAUUUCAAGAAUAUUCCCUAUGUUUUCAAUCCCCAUGAGGUUGAGAAAGAAGACAAGCCAAAGACACAGCGAGUGAUUAAUAAAAUUAUUUAUUUUGUAAUUUGUUAUGUAUAUAAAUAGCUUAAAGCAUU